AUUGAACGCUGGCGGCAGGCCUAACACAUGCAAGUCGAACGAGUGGCGGACGGGUGAGUAAUGGCUGGGAAACUGCCUGAUGGAGGGGGGUAACUACUGGAAACGGUAGCUAAUACCGCAUACCAUCAGAUGUUCCCAGAUGGGAUUAGCUUGUUGGUGGGGUAACGGCUCACCAAGACGACGAUCCCUAGCUGGUCGGAGAGGAUGACCGGCCACACGGGAACUGGGACACGGUCCAGACGCUUACGGGAGGCAGCAGUGGGGAAUAUGGCAAAAGGGGCGCAAGCCUGAUGCAGCCAGGCGGCGUGUAUGAAGAAGGCCUUCGGGUUGUAAAGUACUUUCAGCGGGGAGGCGUUACCCGCAGAAGAAGCACCGGCUAACUCCGUGCCAGCAGCCGCGGUAAUAC
rnacentral:rRNA from 1 species